rnacentral:rRNA from 1 species
UAAGCGGAGGAAAAGAAACUAACUAGGAUUCCCUUAGUAACGGCGAGUGAACCGGGAUGAGCUCAAAUUUGAAAUCUGGCGUCUUUCAGGCGUCCGAGUUGUAAUCUAUAGAGGCGUUUUCCGCGCCGGACCGCGUCCAAGUCUCUUGGAAUAGAGUAUCAAAGAGGGUGACAAUCCCGUACUUGACGCGACAACCGGUGCUCUGUGAUACGUUCUCAAUGAGUCGAGUUGUUUGGGAAUGCAGCUCUAAAUGGGUGGUAAAUUCCAUCUAAGGCUAAAUAUUGGCGAGAGACCGAUAGCGAACAAGUACCGUGAGGGAAAGAUGAAAAGCACUUUGGAAAGAGAGUUAAACAGCACGUGAAAUUGUUAAAAGGGAAACGAUUGAAGUCAGUCGUGUGAGGGGUAUUCAGCCGUCUCUGGCGGUGUAUUUGCCUCUCACGGGUCAACAUCAGUUUGAUCCGGUAGAAAAAGGCGGGAGGAAGGUGGCACCCUCGGGUGUGUUAUAGCCUCCUGUCAUAUGUGCCGGACCAGACUGAGGAACGCAGCUUGCAGCAAUGCCGGGAUUCGUCCACGUACAAGCUUAGGAUGUUGACAUAAUGGC